rnacentral:tRNA from 1 species
GCCUCUGUGGCGCAAUUGGCUAGCGCGUUCGGCUGUUAACCGGAAGGCUGGUGGUUCGAUCUCACCCAGGGGCG